AGUUUGAUCCUGGCUCAGGAUGAACGCUAGCGACAGGCUUAACACAUGCAAGUCGAGGGGCAGCAUGGGCAUAGCAAUAUGCCCGAUGGCGACCGGCGCACUGGUGAGUAACACGUAUGCAACCUGCCCCCUACCGGGGAAUAACCCAGAGAAAUUUGGCCUAAUGCCCCGUAGUCCCGGGAUCCGCAUGGUUUCCGGGGGAGAGCUCCGGCGUUAGGGGAUGGGCAUGCGGCGCAUUAGCUAGUUGGCGGGGCGACGGCCCACCAAGGCGACGAUGCGUAGGGGUUCUGAGAGGAAGGUCCCCCACACUGGUACUGAGACACGGACCAGACUCCUACGGGAGGCAGCAGUGAGGAAUAUUGGUCAAUGGGCGCAGGCCUGAACCAGCCAAGUCGCGUGCGGGAUGACGGCCCUACGGGUUGUAAACCGCUUUAGCGGGGGAGUAACGUGCGGCACGCGUGCCGUAUUGAGAGUACCCCGAGAAUAAGCAUCGGCUAACUCCGUGCC
rnacentral:rRNA from 1 species